UCUAUCAGCAUCAUUACUCUCACAUGACUAAUUUGAGAAUGAAUAGUGUAAAACGGGGUACUUGGUAAUGUCGUUAAGGCUAUUUUGGUUGGAUUUCAAAGCACUAGAUUGAAUAUACCAGAGUGCAGAAUAACUGAUGCAUUUACAAAACCUCGAAGUUUGAUUGAACAUUGCAGGUGUCAGUGAAUGUCAGGGAAAUACCGUAAUUUGAAUUAUUGCAAACGGCACAGUUAGUCCCCAACGUGUUUUAGGAAACAAGUAGAGCCUAACCACUUUUGCUAGUCCUACGCUAUCUCACUCUCUUAGGAGCCAGCAGGAGAAAGUGGAGAAACUAAAAGCAGCUCAGCUGAAGUGAAAGAAGUCCCCAGCUUCAGCCGGAAUAGCAUUUUGUUGUGUGAUGAGAGAUAGAAAUAAGAUGGUGUAAUCAUAGAACAGAGGCCAUAAAGUCUCUGAGUUUGAAAACCUCAAGCAAAUAGUCUGAACCAGGACCAGAGGUUCCACGUCCGGUGAUCCCAGGGGACCAGGACUACAUCUGAGUGUUCCGGAGGAAGUGGAACAAGCCAAGGCGAGAGGGUCCCUACGGAGCGGUCCUAGCAACACCAACAGUCGUCCAGGUGAAAGGAAGCAACAUCUGGUACCAUCUAAACCACUGCACCAGAGUCCUAGCGGGGAGGAGGCGGCGACCACCAAGCCAUGAGGAUGCUGAUACACCAGGUGGGUGUCCGAAGGGAACGGGAGCAGAGGAGGUCGACACACCAGGAAGAAGCCGAAGGAGAGGAGGAUCAAGGAGCAUCUUCUGAAUAGCCAGAGAGUCCAGGGAUAGGGAGGAGUGACAUGCCUGUUGCUCCUAAUGACAUAUCUACUCUGGCAGAUACCCCUGAUGGAGGCACUGUCCAAGGGGACGAAGAAACAACGACAGGAGAAUGGGAAGGAGACUUUCUUACCAUCGACUUCUCUGCCAUCACACGUCUUUCUAACAGAGUGAAAACCAGGACAGAUGAAGAACGGUAGAAUGGCCUUGACAGCAACAGCGACCAACCUAGAAGAAAUUGUAAACUCACCUCGCACAUGCACUAGCACACCAACUAAGACAAUGACAACUUCAAGGAAGUGGGUUGAUGCAGAAAAUCUGGACAUCUGUUACCAACUGGUGUAGCCAUAAUGAAGAAACUACCCCAGAAUCAAACAUUGACCAAAAAUGUAGAAACGCAUUAACAAAUGGCUGGUAUAAGUGGGCUCAGUGGGGCCAGAAAAAAGUAUUACCAUGUCCUCAAUGUAACAGUUGCUGAAUGAUUAAUGCUGUUAGACCUUCUGAAUAUCUGUUCUAGACAUGUGACAUGGGGUUUGUCCUCAAUCUUCUAACCGGUUUUUCACUUUUGUCAAAAAUAGAUGUUAGAGAGGUGUCUUUGAGGAAGGGCAAUAUGUUUAGGUGUCAUAUUGAGAAUGACACUAUAAGGGUUUAGGAUGUUUAGUUUAUUGAUUUGAUUGUUUAUUUAUCUUGUAUUCAACUGAGAAUAUCAGGUAAGGCUAAGAAAUGCACAUGCUUAAACACUAUACAGUAUGUCCUGACUCACCAGUGUAUAUGGGAAAGUGGAGCUCAAAUUGUUAAGAUGGAUGUGAGGUUGAUUAUCUCUAUAGAGUUUCAGAAGGUCCCAUUCUCAUCUAUACUGGAAAAUGUAAUUGUGUGUGACACUGAGUUUCAAAGGGGGGGUUAUGUUGGAGAUUUUCCAGUCAUCUGAUGAUUUUCAGUAACCUAUACUGUUCUCUUUGAAGUAGAUAGAAUAAUCAAUAUAAGCAAGCAGAAUGAAGGCUAAACCUAUGAGUGUCCAAGCUAGAUCAACAUCGAAUUGACCAUUUCACAUGUAAAGACCAGAACAUAAGCAGAAUCUGUGUAGAUGCGGCAAGCUAAACCAACAAGACUUGAGUGGUCUGGGCCAUAUCUAAUCUUGUGAAGGCUACUGGACACGCACGUAAGUUAAGCAUACAUUGAUAAUGUAGGUCUGAACUUGUAAAGGCCUUUGGGCAGGAACAUUAGCUAAGUGGUGUGCAUGUCAUGCCACCAAUAGAAUAUAUGCCCCAAUGUCUGAGCCAAUUAGAGAAUGGAAACUAAGUAAGACAACAAGAUUCGUAAAAUUGGGUGAUGACAAGGGUAAGACUGUAUAAAAACCAAGCACUAAGAAUAAAGAUUCAGUUGUUUCAUGAACUAACUCAAGCUUUGUUGCUCUCUGUGAUAAAGUCUAAUUGAAUUCACAAGCUCUGGUAUCUGAGAAGUAUUUGAGUCAAUAUUUUUCCACAACAAAAACCCCUUUGCCCUCAGAACAGUUUCAUUUUGUCAGGGCAUGGACUCCACAGGGAUGCUGGCCCAUGUUGACUCUGUCACGUUCUGACCUUAAUUCCUUUUUUUUGUCUUUGUGUUAGGUUGGUCAGGGCGUGAGUUGGGGUGGGUAGUCUAUGUCCUUUUUCUAGGUUGUUAUAUUUCUAUGUGUUUGGCCUAGUAUGGUUCUCAAUCAGAGGCAGGUGUCGUUCGUUGUCUCUGAUUGAGCAUCAUACUUAGGUAGCCUGUUUUUCCCCCAUUUUUGAUUGUGGGUGUUUAAUUUCUGUUUAGUGUUUGUUCACCUGGCAGAACUGUUUAGUUAUCUCUUCGUUGUUAUUUUGUGAAGUGUUCAGUUUUUUCAAUUAAAUUAUGACGAACACUUA